UAAUUCAGCUGUUUCUUGUGUCGAAAUUACACUAGAAGGAAGCAGCUCAUAUCUUUUAAUUGUAGUUGAAAUAUUAAUGGUUAGGCCCACAUGUAUUGCAAAGAACAAAAAAACACGCAGGAAAGCAAAAAGGAAAAAAGAGCCUCAAGUAUUCACAAGGAAAGGAGUAGGCGCAAGGAAUCAACGCACACAAGAGGAAAAUAAGUAAAGUGGGCUUUUGAAUAAAAAAAGCCACAAAACAGCGAAAAUAAAGAGGGUUUGACAGAUAUCAGUAGGGAGGAUUCAUGUUUAUUGAUUUAGUUUGACAGAUAACCAGGAGCCGUGGGAGACAAAGACCAGAAGAGCCACACGCAUGAAAAAAAAAAGGAAGAAGAAGAGGGGAGCCGACAGGAGAAAUUCAUCCCUAAUAAGUUUUCUUUACUCUUUUCUAUCUAUUUUUCUUUGUUUUCAUGUCUAAUUUAGAGUAGUUUUAUACUAGUAGGAACAUGUAAUUGACUAUUUGAUAUUUGGGUUUAUGAUAUUACGUUUUUAUUUGUGUUAUAAACGAUUAGUUUCUUUUGGGUAUUUAUACAAGGUUUAUUAUCUGGCUUUUGAUUCAUGUUUAUUGAUUUAGUUUGAUCACCUAAAUUAUUUCAUGUCUCCAUUGCUAGAUUAAUUGUAGUUUUAAUUAGGUUGGAACUUUAUGAUCUAAUUAUAAUUUCUAGAAUCUUGUGUAAUAAUGGAAUCCAAUUGGUGUUGUAGCUUACUGGUAAGUUUGAGUUCGGUUGGUUGUGUUUCUAAGGCUAUCAAGUUGGAUAAUUUGAUACAUGCUUUCAUGGUUGGAUUAUUAUGGCUUGAUUAGAAUUAAAUUUUCGUGCUUUUCAUGGGAUUUAGCAAGUCGGAAAGAUAAAGCUAGUAAUCUACUUACUUUCAAGGCAUUAUAUAGUUAACCAAUCUAUCCUAGGCAAGUCGAAUGAGUCAAUGAUUAUGAUAUCCAAUAUCUAUAAAAAGUUACAUGUCUCCUAUUAGUUUCUUAGUUAUCUUUUAAAACCGAAUUUAUUUCCUCCAAUUUAUAUAUUCAUAUUUUAGUUCAACAAUCUUAGUAUAAAAGUGAUAUCCAAGUCCCCCCAUAUUUAUAUAGUAAUAGUUAUUUAUAUAAGUAAACAAUUAGUUUAAGAUAAUAACGCAGUCUGUGUGGGUUCGACCCUUACUUUCCCUAUCUAUCUGUUAAAGUUGGUGAGUGAUUUAUAAAUUUAAUUUUAUUGCGGAAACGACUCGCAUCAAAUUUUGGCGCCGUUGCCGGGGACUGUAUAAUCUAUUAUUUUAGACUAUUUUUUUAGUAUUAGUAUUUAUCUUGUUAUUUGUUUAAAUCUAGAUUUUUGUUGCUUGAUCUAAUAUUUAUUUUUAUAUUUUUUGUGUGACUAUUAACUAGUUAGAUGGGAGGAGAAGGUGAAAAGAACUUGAAAGAACAUAUGUUCAAUGCAUAUGAGACACCCAUGAGUGUAAUUUUCCCGCCUUAGAGAAAUCAUUCAAACUUGAUCCAGGUUUUAUCGGAAUUCUCCCUAAAUUCAUGGUCAUGAUAAGGAAGAUGCUCAUAGACAUUUACAAGAAUUUUCUCUUAAUUGUUCUACUUUGUCAUUAAAUGGGGAAGCUGUAGGAGUAGUUAACCAAGUGGAUUAAGGAAUUUCGUGGCUUUAAGCAUCCUUAGUAAAGUGUGUACUCAGCUUUGGUGAUAGUGUUGUCAUUCCUGUGGCCUGUCACUUGGUGGGUGGCAGAGUGAAAUAUUGUUGCAGGUUUGGUGUUGUCAGCUCAGGAUUCUGAAGUGAAGCAAGAUAAAGAUGUCGUCGUAGCUUAUGGAUUGAGUUUGUA